rnacentral:rRNA from 1 species
CGGGUUGUAAAGUACUUUCAGUCGUGAGGAAGGCGGCGUCGUUAAUAGCGGCGUUGUUUGACGUUAGCGACAGAAGAAAGCACCGGCUAACUCCGUGCCAGCAGCCGCGGUAAUACGGAGGGUGCGAGCGUUAAUCGGAAUUACUGGGCGUAAAGCGCAUGCAGGUGGUUUGUUAAGUCAGAUGUGAAAGACCCGGGGCGUCAACCUCGGAAUUGCAUUUGUAAACUAGGCAGACUAGAGUACUGUAGAGGGGGGUAGGAAUUUCAGGUGUAGCGGUGAAAUAGCGUAGAGAUCUGAAGGAAUACCGGUGGCGAAGGCGGCCCCCUCGGACAGAUACUGACACUCAGAUGCGAAAGCGUGGGGAGCAAACAGGAUUAGAUACCCUGGUAG